CGCGUGCACUGGUUCGGCCGGGCCUUUCCCACUGGGGAGCCGCAUGCCCUUCACUGGGUGUGUCGGGGAACCAGGACUUUUACUUUGAACAAAUUAGAUCGCUUAAAGAAGGCCUAUGCUCGAAUACAUUAGCAUGGAAUAAUAGAAUAGGACGCGUGGUUCUAUUUUGUUGGUUUCUAGGACCGCCGUAAUGAUUAAUAGGGACAGUCGGGGGCAUCAGUAUUCAAUUGUCAGAGGUGAAAUUCUUGGAUUUAUUGAAGACUAACUACUGCGAAAGCAUUUGCCAAGGAUGUUUUCAUUAAUCAGGAACGAAAGUUAGGGGAUCGAAGACGAUCAGAUACCGUCGUAGUCUUAACCAUAAACUAUGCCGACUAGGGAUCGGACGAUGUUAUAUUUUGACUCGUUCGGCACCUUACACGAAAGUAAAGUUUCUGGGUUCUGGGGGGAGUAUGGUCGCAAGGCUGAAACUUAAAGAAAUUGACGGAAGGGCACCACCAGGGGUGGAGCCUGCGGCUUAAUUUGACUCAACACGGGGAAACUCACCAGGUCCAGACACAAGUAGGAUUGACAGAUUGAGAGCUCUUUCUUGAUUUUGUGGGUGGUGGUGCAUGGCCGUUCUUAGUUGGUGGAGUGAUUUGUCUGCUUAAUUGCGAUAACGAACGAGACCUUAACCUGCUAAAUAGCCCGCAUUGCUUUGGCAGUGCGCCGGCUUCUUAGAGGGACUAUCGG
rnacentral:rRNA from 1 species